AUUGAACGCUGGCGGCAUGCCUUACACAUGCAAGUCGAACGGCAGCACGGGAGCAAUCCUGGUGGCGAGUGGCGAACGGGUGAGUAAUAUAUCGGAACGUGCCCAGUAGUGGGGGAUAACUGCUCGAAAGAGCAGCUAAUACCGCAUACGACCUGAGGGCGAAAGGGGGGGAUCGAAAGACCUCUCGCUAUUGGAGCGGCCGAUAUCAGAUUAGCUAGGUGGUGGGGUAAAGGCCUACCAAGGCAACGAUCUGUAGUUGGUCUGAGAGGACGACCAGCCACACUGGGACUGAGACACGGCCCAGACUCCUACGGGAGGCAGCAGUGGGGAAUUUUGGACAAUGGGCGCAAGCCUGAUCCAGCAAUGCCGCGUGCAGGAAGAAGGCCUUCGGGUUGUAAACUGCUUUUGUCAGGGAAGAAAUCCUCUAGGUUAAUACCCUUGGGGGGAUGACGGUACCUGAAGAAUAAGCACCGGCUAACUACGUGCCAGCAGCCGCGGUAAAAC
rnacentral:rRNA from 1 species